AUGAGACCAGCGUACUGUCAAUGCCCCAGCCCGUUCUCUUCUGGAUCAGAGACGGAAACCAUUCCGAGCUGCUCCGAGUUAUCGUUCUCAUCCGGGAAUCACGCCGUCUGGAGACCGCCGAAUAUCGAUCUGAUAUGCCAAUAUUUAGAUAACAUGUGCACGCCCGAAAUAGGAGUGGGAAUAUACCGUUGUCCUGCAUACGUGUCCGACCUCGAGAUGACCCCCAUACGGGGCCCAGACCUCGACGGAGGAAGCUCAAACCUCGCCAGGGCCCACGGUUCCAAUAGCCCAUAUCAGAGCGGACGUUCGCAAUGCAACACUCUAAGUCGGUCGAACAAUCCCCGGCCGCCAUACCUCGCCGCGACUGAUUACAUCUUCUACAUAAAGAGGCAAACAGCCGCUUGCCAAGCAGCAAUGAAGAGUACUGACGCGCACGAAGCGUCAAUGGAGGAGCUCACAAACUUCACGGACCUUAUGAGACGACUCAAAGACGAUUUGAAAUCUUCUUACAGCAGCUUCGUGGAGGAGUUUGCCGUGGAACCGAGCGAGGGAGUCAAUCUCCUGCUGGACCUUCUGAAGAUCUACAGAAGGGGAAAUCAACAGGAACAUCUAGGCCACCCUCUUACGUUGAGGAAUAACAAGGACCGACAGCACAUCAUGAAGAAAAACAUGUCCGAGGAGCUCGAUUGCAUCGAAUGCAUCUUCUAUACGCUUCGUUGCAAGAAAUCGCUCACGAAGCUCGUUGCUCACUCAAGCGGGAUGACAUCAGUUGCGUCUUCGGUCAUGUCAACUUGUACCACUACAAGGAAACUCGCCCUUCAGCUGAUGUCACGAGUCAUUGAGGAGCAUCCCGCUGGAUACCAGAAAGUCAUGGACUCAAUAUCAGCGGUUCGCGUCAUCCACGGAGAAACGGUCCGCUUCAAGUUCCUCGUGUCCAUGUUGCUUAACAGAAGCAAAAUGGCUGCUGGUUUCGAGCUCGCUGCACUUCAUUUCCUGAACUGUGUACACACCUACACACCGACAGCUUCUGACAAAAUUCGUAUACAGAACGAGUUGGACGAGGCUGGAUUCGACGUUGCUGCUCUGGAGAAGAAUCUUUUCGAGAAGGGGUUUGCCGCACAGGAUCCUGUCUGGGACGAGGUGCGCCGAUGGAAGGAAAACUUUCUGAACGUGGAGCACGCUCUAGCCGAGAGAAAGAAGAUCAAAAACGAAAACACGAAGCUGAAAACUGAGUUGGACCUGCUACGACGAGCUCUGAAGAGACUCGAGGUCGACAAGAUUUCCUUGAUGACCAUCGAGAAAGAGCUCAAAGAACGCUGCGAGGGUCUCGAGCUGGAAGUUUGCGCUUUGAGGAAGGCGGUCCCCUCGAAGGCAUCAUCUGCCAAGUCUUCGGACACCGAAGACUCGGACCACAGCGACAAUACACAGGGAACGACGGACUCUGGGCGCUCGAGCUUCAAGGAUUACGCGCAUCGGAAAAUUCGAGCGUCCUCGCGGGCAGGCACCUCCGCAUCUUCAGGUUCCGCAGCCGCCUCGCCCACGGUUCAGAGCCCGGAUCAUCAACAAUCGGACAGCGGAGACGAGGAAGCUGAUCUCCUCCAGAUUCCCACCAUCCGGCCUCCUGAAGGAUUCGCAACUGACCUCGACGAAGCCGUCGUUGUGGAACCGUCAAAGGUCUCCGUCGUCGGCUACGUUGAGAAGGGCUCGGAGAGCCCCGCGGGCACUCAUGCACCAAGAACGCUGAAGAAUGAUACAGAUCUUGAUUGGAAUUAUCCGAUCAUCCCGGAACCAAAACAAUUGUUGAACAAGGAGGCUUUCUCGAAUGUGCAGCAGCUGUUCACAAUCGAGGUGUCAUUCGUAUUCCUCGUGGGCCGCAAUUAG
rnacentral:sRNA from 1 species